rnacentral:rRNA from 1 species
GGGUCAGUAGGUUGGUCGUGCCACCGGUACGUACUGGUCUCACUGAUUCCUCCUUCCUGAAGAACCGUAAUGCCAUUAAUUUGGUGUUGCGGGGAAACAGGACUGUUACUUUGAAAAAAUUAGAGUGUUUAAAGCAGGCUAACGCUUGAAUACAUUAGCAUGGAAUAAUGAAAUAGGACGAUCGAUCCUAUUUUGUUGAUUUCUAGGAUUGACGUA